CAGUAGCCGCGGUAACACAGAGGGUGCGAGCGUUAAUCGGAUUUACUGGGCGUAAAGCGUGCGUAGGCGGCUAAUUGAGUCGGAUGUGAAAUCCCCGAGCUUAACUUGGGAAUUGCAUUCGAUACUGGUUAGCUAGAGUGUGGGAGAGGAUGGUAGAAUUCCAGGUGUAGCGGUGAAAUGCGUAGAGAUCUGGAGGAAUACCGAUGGCGAAGGCAGCCAUCUGGCCUAACACUGACGCUGAGGUACGAAAGCAUGGGGAGCAAACAGGAUUAGAUACCCCUGUAGUCCCUGUCUCUUAUAC
rnacentral:rRNA from 1 species